rnacentral:rRNA from 1 species
ACCUUACCAGGUCUUGACAUCCUUUGACCACUCUAGAGAUAGAGCUUCCCCUUCGGGGGCAAAGUGACAGGUGGUGCAUGGUUGUCGUCAGCUCGUGUCGUGAGAUGUUGGGUUAAGUCCCGCAACGAGCGCAACCCUUAUUGUUAGUUGCCAUCAUUUAGUUGGGCACUCUAGCGAGACUGCCGGUGACAAACCGGAGGAAGGUGGGGAUGACGUCAAAUCAUCAUGCCCCUUAUGACCUGGGCUACACACGUGCUACAAUGGGAAGUACAACGAGUUGCGAAGUCGCGAGGCUAAGCUAAUCUCUUAAAGCUUCUCUCAGUUCGGAUUGUAGGCUGCAACUCGCCUACAUGAAGCCGGAAUCGCUAGUAAUCGCGGAUCAGCACGCCGCGGUGAAUACGUUCCCGGGCCUUGUACACACCGCCCGUCACACCACAAGAGUUU